rnacentral:rRNA from 1 species
UUAUAAGAGACAGCAGUCGCCGCGGGAAUACGGAGGGUGCAAGCGUUAUCCGGAUUUAUUGGGUUUAAAGGGUCCGUAGGCGGAUCUGUAAGUCAGUGGUGAAAUCUCACAGCUUAACUGUGAAACUGCCAUUGAUACUGCAGGUCUUGAGUAAAUUUGAAGUGGCUGGAAUAAGUAGUGUAGCGGUGAAAUGCAUAGAUAUUACUUAGAACACCAAUUGCGAAGGCAGGUCACUAAGAUUUAACUGACGCUGAUGGACGAAAGCGUGGGGAGCGAACAGGAUUAGAUACCCCAGUAGUCCCUGUCUCUUAUAC